UCAANGUUUUAAUAGAUUGGUGCAUUAUACACAGUGCUGAUCUUCAUCACCACAUAUGCCCUAUUCAUUUUGGGAGCAUGUUUAUCGAUGUUGAAUUUGCUUCAUGUUUCUGUGAUAGCUUCUGCGAAACAGUUUCUGUUUAGCUAACACAGCCUUUCUGUUGUUGAUGUUGUAAUUUUUUUGACAUGGGAACAACCCAUGUAUGUGAUUUCCUAUUAAAAGGGCACUCUUUAAAAUGUUUUUAGUGAGAUAUGUGUUGUUUUCUCAACCUUUGUUUUGGCUAAUGCUGCUUUCGACAGGGAUCUGCUCAUACUGGUCCAGCGUUAACCCCUGCUGAAGUUCUGAUUGCAAUUCAUGAUAUUAAUCCAGAAAAGGACAAAGUUCCUCUAAAGAAGGUAAUUUGUUUCCUAUUGUUUCUUUUCAUGCUGUCUCAUGAUAUUCAACAUUUCUUGAGCAUAUUCUCGGUGUGCAC
rnacentral:lncRNA from 1 species